CUUGCAUUAGAACAGCGGCAAACACUCGGUGUAGUGGAUAGUAUAACGAACACGAGCUAAAGUAAAGUAAAGUGAGGUGCGCGGAUAUAUUACUUUAAUUUGAGAUAAUUAAGAGGAAGAAAUCUAAAAAAAAAAGAUACCAAGUUUUGAAAACGCAAGGAUCGAUCGAAAUUCGAUUCAGUUUAUAAACAAAAUCCGUGUUGCUCUUUUGUAUUGCUGCAAGAUGAAAUCUUUCGCCUGUAUUCUAUUAGUGAUAAUGGUACUCACUUUAGUGCCAGAGGAGCUUUGUCAGCAAAUGAAUAAUCCGUUAUUGAACAAUCAGCCUAACGAACGAAGCACGUAUCGGCCUAUGAGACCAGCACGAGUAUGGAGUCCUAUUUUAAGUUGGGGUCCGGAAAAAUACAACCGUGUCCCAAACAACAGAGGCAGCAUACCAAUAACAGAUGCCUGAUGAUGCAGAGUUGACAGGCCCAAAGAUAUAAGUAUUUUGUCAAUGGCAGCUGAAAACUGGAUGCACAGGAAUUCCAAAAUAUCGUCGCCGCAGCACAACCACAUAAUGACAAAAGUAUUUUGUGUACCGACGAAACUUUAAUAAAUUUACCUUAUUAGUUCUACAA